rnacentral:sRNA from 12 species
AGCCUAAAACUCAAUUUAAAGUUGAGCAUGGUAGUAAAACCAUCUACGGGAACGGAAGCUCUCCGUUCAGCAACCGUAGAUGGUAAUAUCUCGAAAGAGAUAUUGGCGCAAGCC